UGGGAAAUUGCAAGCCUAUGACUGGCC
rnacentral:piRNA from 1 species